AAUUUCUCGCCAUCGAUUUUGGUUCAUUUCAUCGUUGGGAUUCUGGUUCGAGAGUCUCGGUCUUGGGUUUUCUUAUUAUCAAUAAAUUCGAUCCUUUGACGGUCCAUUCCUAAACUCUCUCUCUUUAUUAUUUUUAAUGUGGCUAUGAUGUGAGUUUGGUGGUAUGGUUUUGAAUCUUUUCGUACUAUUAAUUGUGUUGCGAGAUAUGAAUGAUUCAUGUUCUUAAUUUGUCUGAACCUUCGUAGAGAGAAUAUGUUUGAUGUUAGUUUUGGGCUUUGAAUAGUGAUUUGAACUAUAGAAUCCAUUGACUUUCCGCUUAAAAAGGAUUUAGGUUUGGGAUUGUGAUUUGAUAAAAGAUGAAUAUAAAUUAGUUUUGUUUUGAUUCAUUAUGAUGGUUGUUGAUUCCUUGAUAGUAUCAUGAUAGGUCAAGCGGGGUAGGCCAAUGUAGGUUUGGGUAAGCAAGAUUUAUGAAUGGUGUUUUUGUUGAAUGAUUGAAUGUGGAAUGUGUGUUGAAUGUUUUCUAGUUUAUCGUACUUGAGAAAAAAAUGUAUUCAUUUUACCAGGGAAUGCCCCGAGGUCUUAUGUACUUAUUCACCGGUGAAUGCCCUGAGGUACCUUGUACUCGGAGGAUGUUUGUGAUGAAGGCUCGGAAUAGUAGAUCAAGCAUUGGAGCGUAGUUUACGAUUAGUGUAGGUUAGCAUAGGUUUAAUUUUAGUACCUUUUUUUUAUUUUUGGGUUGUAAUAAUUGGACUGGACAUUGUUUUGGAUUUGUUUAUUUGAUUGAUCAUUUUAUUUGUGUUUGGUGUGGUUUAUAUAUUCAUAGUAUUCAAAUCAGCCGAUAUAUUCCAUCAAGCGACCGUGGUCAAACCACGGGAUCGAGGGGUGCGUAACACCUUCCACUCGUUCGAUUGAAUUUCUUAACCGGAAUCUCUAUUCGCGGAUCAGUGUAAAAGAGUCAAAAAUAAUUUUUGAAAAAGAAUUCCCAAAGGUGACUUGGCACACCCAAUUAUGUCAAGUGGGGACUCUUUGUUUAAAUGAAAAUAAUCCUUUUUGAAACAAAAUUUUUAUUUUUUGUCACUUUAAUAAAAACCCCUUCGAACUUAAAAUGAUAUCUUUUUUUGGAGAUAAAAAAGGGGUGUGACAGCUCUAGCGACUCUGCUGGGGAUUUUUUAGAAUUCAAGCUUAUUUUUGGAGUCGUAUCGACUUUUUUUGGCAUUAUGGGUGAUAAACAUUGUUUGUGAUUAUUUUUUGUGUUAUUGUUAUCACUGUUGUGCGUUUCUGUGCUCUUUGUUUACAAUUUUUCUUUAUGUGUUACCACUUUAUAUCUGGCAUCAUUUGCAUAACCCGAGUCAAUUCUUUCUGCAACAAGUCACAAAGUGCACGUCAUGCGCACAAACUCUAGUUGAGUCAUCCUUAUUUUAGGGGGAGCUGUUGGAUGUAUCGAGUAGGCGAAAAGCAAAGCAGCCACUAUCGAUCAUAUGCUCCCCCGAAUGGCCUUGUUAGUAAAACACAAUGUAGGUCAGCCUUUAGGUCAUUCUUAUGUGCAUCAUAUUGAGACCUAGUGGGGCCCACUUGGUCCUUUGUAGGAGACUCACCUUUAAAGCAUCCCCACAUGCUAAAUGUUGCAUCUUUGAGGGUAAUGUGGUCAUUUGACGGACUGAUUCGAGGAAAGCAUGUGUUAGAAGUAAGGUGUGCUUGAAAAAAAAAAAGAGAAGUGUGUCAAAAAGGGUUUCGUAGCUUUUAAUGUUCUUUAUGGCUUUUGUUUUUCACAAUUCAAAAAUUCAAAAAGAUUUUUUACCUUUUGCACUCAUUUUGUCAAAAACAAAAACAUCAAAACUAUUUUUCUUUGUUUCUUUAGUAAGCGUCCAUAAUUUAAAAUUUUCAAAAAGAUUUCUUCUAAUAGGAGCUUUUUAUAAAAGAGGAAUGGAAAAGAUGGUAGAAGUUUUGUACAUUUCAUAAAACUGACAUAUCCAAAAAGUUUUUUUCUUUCAUAAUCGUUGGUGUCAGUUUUAUGUGAAGUGUCAAAUUGAAAAGCUCAAAAUGAUUUUAUUGACAUAUUUCAUCGUCUAUCUGUAAUCGCGUCUCUCAGGUCAAGUCUUAGUUUGGUUCUUUAAGACUUAAUUGUCUAAUCUGAACGAACUAUGCAUACUUGAUUUCUGUCCCUCAGGGUGGGAUACGUAGGCAGUCCUCGGUGGAUUCGGUAAUCUUUAUUUUGGCCUUUGUCUUAGUCUUAGCCUAGGUCUUUCACCCCGUAAUCUAGAGUUGUUAGCCAAGUAGGCUGAUUUUAUUCAGUGUUACUGUUCGAUGAAUUGGAGUCAUGAAGUGGUCUGUCCCAUCGACUUAUGUCCGUAUCAAAUUCCCAAUGGUUGGGAACCUUUUACUCUUAUCAACUUUUUGAGAUAAUGUCUUAUCUAUUAUUACAGGAUGGAUCUGUCCACAAAGUCUAGAGUCCUUAUGGUUGUCAAGGUACCCAAAAAGUUAAUCAAGUAGUGGGGCAUGUUCAAUUACUCUGAAAAGCACAAAGUUAGGAAAGUGUUAGGCAAUCUUGUAGCACUCAUGGAUCUCACACCCCGUCCGGAUCUAAUAGAAGCUGCGUUGACUUUUUAGGAUCCAAAUAAUUUGGUGUUUAGGUUCAUAAGUUGUGAAUUGACUCCUACCCUGGCAGAAAUAUUUCAUUUGUUUUAAUUGACUUAUAUGGGUUUGCAGAUGAUUUUAGCCCGCAAUCAUACUCGUAAGAGAUUUCUUCGACUUUGUGGAUUGAAAGAUAACAAGUAUAUGGGAUGUCUCAAACAAUCUUGGAUUUCCUUGGACUAUUUGUUUGCUAGAUUUGGGUCCUUAGAGGGUUUUAAAUGCUUUUGGGAUGAAUUUUGUACUACCAAAAAAGUCUGGGAACAACGUCAUCUUGAGGUUUUCUAUUUGGCUUUGUUGGGCAUCUUAGUGUUCCCGUUAGAUGAGAGAUGUAUAAAUACUCGUCUAUAAUCAGUGGUGAUAGCUUUAUUCAAGAAACAAGAUGAGGUCACCAUUGUACCAAUGAUCUUAACAGAAAUAUAUAAGGCUUUAACUGAAGUAAAAGGAGGGGUAUGGUUUUUUGAGAGGAGUAAUCUGAUAUUACAGUUGUGGAUGAUGAAGCAUUUGCAUACACCUUCUUUGAUUAAAGCAGAUGUGAUCGACCAUUGUCUGAAUGAUCGAGUGCAAGCCAUGUAAGAGAGAAUGCGUUUUGAUAAAUUUUCUUUUCCUAUGGGAGUCAAUUCCUGGAUCGAAUUUCUCAAAUCAAGAACUCCGGACAACAUUCUUUGGUCCUAUAUGUGGUUUCGUCCUAAGAAAAUCUUGAUUGGAUCUCAAAUAUAACUCUUUCUGGUUUUGAUAGGUCUUAAUUGCACUAGGCCUUAUAGUCCAAGAAGGGUGAUGCAUUAGUUGGGUAGGAUGCAAGACGUCCCCCCAAUAAUGGACCUUCUAAAGGAUGUAGAGUACUUUAAAGACCAAGACGUGGGG
rnacentral:lncRNA from 1 species